ACGGGUGAGUAACACGUGAGCAACCUACCCUUCACUUCGGGAUAAGCCUCGGAAACGGGGUCUAAUACCGGAUAUCACUCUGUGCUUCAUGACCUGGGGUUGAAAGUUCUGGCGGUGGGGGAUGGGCUCGCGGCCUAUCAGCUUGUUGGUGGGGUAAUGGCCUACCAAGGCGUCGACGGGUAGCCGGCCUGAGAGGGCGACCGGCCACACUGGGACUGAGACACGGCCCAGACUCCUACGGGAGGCAGCAGUGGGGAAUAUUGCGCAAUGGACGGAAGUCUGACGCAGCAACGCCGCGUGAGGGAUGACGGCCUUCGGGUUGUAAACCUCUUUCAGCAGGGACGAAGCGAGAGUGACGGUACCUGCAGAAGAAGGACCGGCCAACUACGUGCCAGCAGCCGCGGUAAUACGUAGGGUCCGAGCGUUGUCCGGAAUUAUUGGGCGUAAAGGGCUCGUAGGCGGUUCGUCGCGUCGGGAGUGAAAACUCGGAGCUCAACUCCGAGCCUGCUUCCGAUACGGGCAGACUAGAGGUAGGCAGGGGAGAGCGGAACUCCUGGUGUAGCGGUGGAAUGCGCAGA
rnacentral:rRNA from 1 species